UACGAAGGGGACUAGCGUUGUUCGGAAUCACUGGGCGUAAAGCGCACGUAGGCGGAUUUGUAAGUCAGGGGUGAAAUCCCGGGGCUCAACCUCGGAACUGCCUUUGAUACUGCGAGUCUUGAGUCCGAUAGAGGUGGGUGGAAUUCCUAGUGUAGAGGUGAAAUUCGUAGAUAUUAGGAGGAACACCAGUGGCGAAGGCGGCCCACUGGAUCGGUACUGACGCUCAUGCACGAAAGCGUGGGGAGCAAACAGG
rnacentral:rRNA from 1 species